GGGUGGAUGGCAGAGUGGUCAAUUGCACUGCGCUGUAGACGCAGCGGCCGUAAGGCCUACGGGGGUUCAAAUCCCUCUCCACCCA
rnacentral:tRNA from 5 species